rnacentral:lncRNA from 1 species
UUGGCCGUAUGAACCCCUUGUCAAUCAAUUCUUCCAAUUGCUUCUUUAGCUCGGCCAUCUCGGCCGGAGCCAUCCGGUACGGACUCUUGGACAGCGGAGCUGUCCCUGGCUCUAGUUCAAUCGUAAAUGGAUCCGACCUAUCAGGGGGGACACCCUGAGGUACCUGGAACACAUCUGGAAACUUCGACACCAACGAAUCCUCUGAAAGGUCUUUCAGACAGACAGAACUGCCCGGCUCUGUAGUUGUAAUUGUAGCCAAAAAGGACUGACAACCCUGUUCCAAC